rnacentral:rRNA from 1 species
AACGAACGCUGGCGGCAGGUCUUAGGCAUGCAAGUCGAACGGGUGUAGCAAUACAUCAGUGGCGCACGAGUGAGUAACGCGUGGGAAUUUGCCCAUCGGUGGGGAAUAACGUUUGGAAACGAACGCUAAUACCGCAUACGUCGAGAAAUCGAGAAAGAUUUAUCGCCGAUGGAUAAGCCCGUGUUGGAUUAGCUUGUUGGUAGGGGAAUGGCCUACCAAGGCGAUGGUCCAUAGCUGGUCUGAGAGGACGAUCAGCCACGCUGGGACUGAGACACGGCCCAGCCUCCUACGGGGGGCAGCAGCUAAGAAUAUUGGACAAUGGAGUAAACUCUGAUCCAGCCAUGCCGCGUGACUGAAGAAGCCCUUCGGGUUGAAAAGCUCUUUUAGUCGUGAGCAUGAUGACGGUAGCUACAGAAAAAGCACCGGCUAACUUCGUGCCAGCCGCCGCAGUAA